GGAUGUGUAGAUUGAUGUAAGUGGACAUUUGAUGCCGAUCGAAGCAGAGCCCCUGAAAUCCUAUGCAGUGGUUUAUUAGUGUCAGACUGAUUCCAUUUCCUUCAGCCAAUACGUGGGCCCUACUUUUAAGAACUCAACAAGUGUGAACCAGGAAGUUCGUCGCCAUCACCUAAGCAUUUCUGGAUGUCUAGAGCGUACCCCUCGCUGCUUAAACACCCAUUUAGAGCACAGAGAAUAACAAACUACAGAGCAGUGAAUCAAACAACAGGGAUGUUCAUUGUGACACUGUGUUAAAGGUGCACUCCAGGCUGAAACUAAUGCGGUUUGAACAGAUAAAGUAAGAUAAGAUAAACAAAAGAAUGAAAGUUUUAUCAAAAUCGGACAAGGAAUAAGAAAAUUAUGACACUUUGCAUUAUGUCUUCAUGAAUGUAUAAUGAGCACACUGAUGACGUCAUACAUUAUUUUCAGCCCGGAGUACCAAUUUAGGCAGAAAAUGGCACUGAUUCAAGAAUUGAAGAGAGUCACCCACUGAAAAAUAAUUAUUCUCAGACUAGAGGAGAUGCUGAAAGACCAAAAAGGGAGCCAGUUAGUCAAAGAAUGUGUACUGGAACCAGUACCUGCUAUAAAAAAUGGCAGAGGUAAAAUUAACGAAGGUAAGAAUGCAUGAAUAAAUAAAUACAUGAAUUGAUAAAUAGAUAGAUGGAUGGAUGGAUGGAUGGAUAGAUAGAUAGAUAGAUAGAUAGAUAGAUAGAUAGAUAGAUAGAUAGAUAGAUAGAUAGAUAGAUAGAUAGAUAGAUAGAUAGAUAGAGAGAGAGAGAUAUAGAUAGAUAGAUGGAUAGAUAUAGAGAAAUAAUAGAUAUAAAGUUAGAUAAAAAUAUAUUGAUAACUGAAUGAAACAAAUCAAUUGAUGUAGAAUUGAUAUCAUAUAGGCCUAUAGGUUAGCAUAAAGUUAUUGCUCUAUUAGACCAAUACAACAAUAUAUAUUACAUAGUGCAUUAGUGUAUUUACUGUUCAGGUAUCAUUAUCACCAUUCACUAUGCAUUUCGGUAAGGUUGCUUUACAAUUAAAAUGUAUAGAAGUAUGGAACAUAAGUGGGCUCAUCCCUUUCCCCUUUUUAAUGCAAAGUCGGGUUAGAAAUUGACGUGAUAAUUAGACCAAGACUUCAAUUAACCUGUUUGCUAAGUGAGUUAAAUUUAUGGAUAUUUCUUUCCUGGGAACGAAGUUAAGCCUCAGUCACAUCGACAUUACUGAAUCUAGAUGGAAAAACAUACGUCACAUACAAGAACAUACCAUCGGUCAGAAUGGAGUCCCUAUCGUUGGUGUGACUGUACUAAUGUCUUUUUUAAACUUGUUCUUAAAUGGGAAGUUCAUCCUGACGAAAAAUUUGUAAUAAAAAUACUUGGAAAAAAAUAGUAAAAAUAUCGGUGAAGGUUUGAGGAAAAUCAAUUAACGAUUAAAAAGCUACUACAACUUUAUGUGGUUUUGGGGACUUCAUGCAGAGCAAGCAGCACCACCUAUGAAAUAAUGGUUUGUGGUAACUAUUUUUUUUUCUUUCAGGAGCGGGUGAAAAAUGAUUUGUCUGUUAAAAAAUAUAUCAAAGUUACAAUGAAACCAUAUUCUUUCUUUCUUUUUUUAGAAAAUAAUUUUUCAUUAAUUUUUUUAAUUAUUUUUAAAAAAAACCUUUCUUAAAAGUGAACUUUCCCUUUAAGAAAUCGAUUACUAUGCUUGAAGCCAAGUUUGCCUACAUUUCUUCUUCCACAGUGUUGGUAAUUAUUAUCAUUCGAUAAGCUUUAAGUCGUCAAAAUGAGUUUUAUUAUAAUUACGCAUAUAAUUUGAAAAGUAAAAUGUAGGGCCUGUAAUGCUUUCUAGAGCAGUUUUUGCUAGCAUCUCCACAAACCAAAGAUAUGAUUUGUCUAUUGUCGGAAAUGUGCUUAGAAAAUACGAACUAUAAGUUCCUCUGCAAGUAAAACUAGCUACUUUUUUAAUUUGUGAUUUUAUUCGAUUAGUGUUUCAUAAAGCUUUUCGUAAGUUAUGAAUGACUUUACGCACGGCUAGUGAUCAUUUCUUAAGGUACAUGAUAUAGCUCCAUAUAGCAGACUUAGCACCUAAGAACAUGUUCCAAUCGUGCGUAGUCUUACGUAACUUUACGAACUGCUUUAUGAAACACAUUAUUAAAUGAUCUUGUUGCACCUUCCUUUGGCUACUUGUAUUGAUUCUCAUACCCUUCAUUCUCUAGCCCCCCCCCCCCCCACCCUUCAUUACCCUUUUUCACCAGAAACUAAGUAAUUCUUUAUUUCCUUAUAUUCCAUCAUUAACCAAACAUUCUCUUUCUCUAUUUUUCUUUCUGCUUCUACGUCUCUGCUAAUGUGCAUUUAUUAUUUUUCUAUUUUUUGUAAAGCUUUUUUUCUCCGACCUAUUACAACUUUCCCUUUUUCUUUGACCUUCUCUCAACCUUCUUAAAUAUUUACCAGUCAUUAUUUUUCUCUAUCUUGAACUUUUAAUUUUAUCAAUUCCUCUUUCACCUUUUCUUCUGUCUAUUCUCCUUUUCCUUUCCAUCUGCCUCUCCCUCGGUCUCCCAUCAAUCUACCGUAUCUUUCUCUCCUUCCCUCUGUCUCUCUCCGUUCUCACCACCCCCUCCCCUCUCCCUCCCUCCCAUAUCUCCCCCCCCCCCCUCUCUCUCUCUUUCUGUGAUUCUGAUUACGGCCAUCUGAAGGGGCUUUCACAAUGGGACUAUAUCAGACCAACAGGGAUAUGCCAGUUAAAAUUGGUGAAAAAGGUCUGAAAAUCAUCUAGAAUGCACCAUUUUGUACACAAAAUGUUUUUUCUGGCUAGAAAUAAGUUUCUAAAAGUAUGACAACAGCAUCCCUGGACCAAACAACCCGUGAAAGCCCUUUUAAUGCCGUCCUACAACCUUGGUCUAUUUUUACACAUCUUGGACAUAUAGGCCUGUAUUCUGAAGUUGGGUUUAAUUUAAGCUCUGGUUUAAAGUUGUGGUUUAACUAUGGACAGCCAAUAGUUGCAUAAAUCUCUAACAAUAUGAUAUAAAUGUAUCAGGUCAUUUUUCGCUCAAAUCAUUCUUAACUGUUUCGGAAAGAUAAAUGAGAUAAUUUUCUUCACCAUUCACGAGUUAGGAAAGAGCACAGUAAGCAUAAGAAACAUGCAAUGUACGGAAAAUUUUGACAUAAUUGGCUUUCCUUAAUUUUAGCACAGAGUAAGACCAUGGUCUAAGUUAAACCUGACUACAGAAUAAGGGCCAUAGAGUGGACUUCGUGAAAUAAUGUUCAAAUUUGAUUUACAAAUUACUUCCGCAAAAGAACAAAGUAAACUUCAAAUCUUAUUAACCUCGGAUCCAAAACAUCUAAUAAUGUAAAAAACUUUAUCCAACGUAGAUGAAUAUCCUUUGGCAAUUGCCAUUAUGAAUAUAUAUUUAUGCUUAAUAUUUCAUUAUGUUUUUUAUGUGUUGCGUCGCUUCUAUUAUUUUAAUCACUAUUCAAGAAUACAAAUAAAAUGUGUGAAAAGCACAUUGAGAGAAAAUACUCUAAACAAAUAUAAAUGUUAUCGAAAUCAAUCUAUAUUCAAACAAAAUUAUUAUCGAAGUUCACUCUUAUAACAAGAUGAAAUAAAUCCCGUUAUUUUGAAUAGUUAUACCAUCCUGGAAUGUUGCAAACUGCAUUGUUAUUGAGGUAUUCACUCUGAAAUAAGCAUUUUACUUUUCACGAUUCUUUUGUAUCAUCUUUCAU